UCCGGCACUACGAUUCAUUUGGACCUAAGAAGCCUUUAGAGUCACUAAUAUAAAAAAACAAUUGUGUAAAUGAUGAGCUCAAGAUAAGAUCUAGUGAUAUCAUUACAAUUUUUGUCUUCCACAAAAAUUCUAAACUUAAAAAAAAAACAUUGCAUGUAAAAAAACAGACCUAGCUUAGAUUUUAUAGUAUUUGGUGUGUAAAGACGAAUUCAGGAAAUUGUUUAUGAAAUUUCUAUGAAGUGCUUCAACUCGUUCGAUUCCAAAUAAUUAAAACAAG
rnacentral:lncRNA from 1 species